rnacentral:rRNA from 1 species
AAGUUAAAGUCAGCCAUCUGCAUGUUGAGCGACGUACCAAGGGUCUUAAAAGGAGCGGGGUUGAGCCUUCGAGACUAUUCCCCCACUUUCAAGCGAAGUGGCGUGAUGGAUGGCAAGUCUUUAGGGUUCGUGGUUUAAAGUUUUUUUUCUUUUUUUCUUUAGGGUUCGUGGUAUCGGUUCCUGUUGUUCUGGCCGCUCGCCGGGGAGACGCGGUACGAAGAAGAGCUCGGAAUGGUGAACCAGCGAGACGAGGACGAGGAGCAGGGACGGCCAGCAACGGAGCGCCGGUGGCGGCCACCGCCGCCGCUACUGUCAGCCGUCAAGUAGAACGACCGCCGCCGCUACUGCCCGCGCUUGGACUGCGAGCUGCCGCGCUCGUCUCAAUACGGAUUGCCGGAGGAGAACGACUGGCUACCGUCUUUCGACUUUCCGGUACCGCAGGUGGGUAAGGGCGACGGCAAGGCGUGGCGCAGCUUACGGUGGCCGAGGCACGCCGGAAAGAGCUGGUGGAAGCAGAAGCGGUAGAGGUCAGUUAUGCUGCUGCACUCGUCGCUGCCGUAGCGGAAGAAGCACCGGCGCAGGUCCCUCCACGAGAGGUGACGCAGCGGUCCGGUCAAGGACCCGGAGGAGUUGCUUCUGUUAUAACCGUUGGCCUCGCGGGCGUAGAAGCGGCACCUCGAUCUGUGCAAGUUUCUACUGCUCGAGGCACUGUAGUUGUUGUUGGUACAGCCGCAGCUGCAACUAUCGGAGCAUAGUUAGCUAAGGUGGUUGCGGCCCAUGAUACUACUGCCGUGGCCCUACAAGGUCUUGGAUUCAGACUAUUCGGUCUUCGGGUACGUCCACACCCACCUGAUGCUGUCGUCCCGGUGCCUCUAGUGGCACUGGUACCGAGGCAACCCGCACCAGUCCGGGUUCUUCGGGGAGGACGCCUGGUGGCAGCUGGAGAGCCCCCACCACGUCUUGUGGCGCAUGCAGCCCAAGAGAAGCCGUUGCUUGAAGAAAGGUUGUGCUGUGCAGCAGGAGCCGACCUCGAAGCGUAACCUACUCGGCCGGGGACGUAACUUGUAGAGUUACAACGGCCGGAACGGUAGCUGUAGCUGGAGCUGGAUGUACUGUGCCACCAGGUAUACCGGUUACUACUAGCGGAAUCGUAGCCACUGCGACCAAAGCCAUUCGUAGGAUUAGAUGUAUACACAUUCUGCCGUCGCAGAGUUCAUGAGACUCCACGCACUCCUGACCCUCCGGGGGAAACCGAGCUUGGCUAAAAGAAUGUUCCUGAACAAAGUACGCUGGUUUCCCAAGUCACUGUUCUUGGAUGAACCUUCCCCUCCAAAACCUUCACAGAUAUCCCCACACGAAGCGUUCUGACCGUACUUCCAGCGGCACUUCUCCUACAGUGUGCUAAGUUCCGCAUUCCCCCUCGAAGAGGAUCAUAUACUGAUGUACCUUUUACCAUCAGAACUGUUCAUGGAUGUGUGUUCUUUACCGGGUUGAGAUACAACCAGGGUCUCCAUAAGCUAGUAGUUUCCACACCGCAGUUCAAACAACAUAGAUGUACUCCUAACCCUCGUUCAGCAGUAGGUAUCUCUACAUUUCCGUUCGUUACACGAGAACCUACCAUUCUACUUACCUUCCAACCCGCUAAAACCAGAACGUUCCUAUAUGCUGGUGCUUUGGCGGCGACUUUGGUGGGUACACCGACCGUGGUACCCCAUAGAACGCGGUCUUGAGAGCGCGUGGCCCUCCGGUUGUGGUAAGAGACUACAUAUACGUAAACCGCACAAAGAGGAUCUCCAGUGCAGACCUGCUUCCGGUUAGAAGUAGCUACUCGUUUUGUUGGCCCAUAACAACCAACUCACCCACGAACUCGUGGUGGUGUUACCAAGAUAGGAGCUGUGUCAUCUAGGUGCUGAGCCUCCCCUUAAGUUGCGCCUACUCCAUUGAUAGCACGAGUUUGACCCAAACGAUACGUGCGUGGGUAGUGGGUUACGUGCUGGAUAGUACGCUUUCCAGUACGUUAUGGAGCUGGUAUCAGUUGGCGGAGGAUUAAAUAGUGGCUGGAUGUAUUCGAUGCAGUACUACCGUGUUUACGUUUUACUUCCCAAACUAAGUGUGUUGUAGGGCACAAGAGUCGUACGUUACUCACAACGGUGAAACAGCCCACUCAGAAGCCGCUGUUAAAAUGCUCUCCCUUCCACUU